UUUCUGUUUUCAGAAUGUAAAAAAAUGUAUUUUACUCCAGAGAAAAAAAAGGGUUUUUGUAUCACCUACACUUGUAGCCUGUACACAGACCAAUGUAUGUUAAAUGGUUUAUUUUAUAGUGGCUUUCCUUUAAUAUCUUAUUCAUUCAUUCUUUAGGCGUAUCUACCGUUUGACCAAAGCUGUGCUGGAAAUGCUGAAGUAUCUGCAGUACGGGAAGCUGUAUUUCCAGUGGAAGUCAUGGUACAAGAAUGUGGACAGUAAUAAUAAGUACUGUGUGAAGGGCAUCACUUACGGUCGCAGAGGCAUCAAGCUAGACUUGUAUCAUUCCCCAACCCUGGGUCAGUCAGGUUCUGGGUCUAUUCCAGUUAUAGUGUUUGUGUAUGGAGGUGCCUGGGGCUCAGGAUCGAGAUCAAUGUACUGUCUGCUAGCUCUACAAAUGGCUAAGGAGCUACGUGCUUCUGUUAUUUGCCCUGAUUAUUCCAUUUAUCCAAAGGGGAAUGUUUUAAACAUGGUUCAGGACAUUAGUGACAGCCUGAUGUGGGUGAGAGAGAAUGGGCAUUCCUUCAAUCUGAAUAAAGACAACAUUGUGUUGGUGGGCCAUUCAGCAGGUGCUCAUCUGUGUGCUCUGACUGCACUGUUUCUGGUAGAAGGUGCGGACGAGUUGAGCAUUGAGCAAUUUCAACAAUGGGAAAUUGCAAACUCUAUUAAAGGCAUCAUAGGUCUGAGUGGCGUUUACAAUGUAAUGGACCAUUAUCAGCAUGAGAAAAUGCGGGGUAUUGAAUAUGUCUCUCCUAUGCACAAAGCCAUGGACGGCAAGGAGAAGUUUGAUUAUUAUUCACCCACAGUUCUCAUCAAGAAACUCAACAAGAAGCAGUUGAAAAGAGUUCCUCCAGUCGGUUUAGUUCACGGUACCCAAGACAUCAUCGUCCCAGUGGAGUCAUCAAUGAAGUUCUCCAAUAUCCUCACUUCACUCUCUCUCCCUGUAUCCCUGUACCUCCUGCCCAAAAUGGAUCACACCAAAAUAGUUACGGAUCUCAUGGCACCACAGAGGCACUUUUAUCACAAAGUAUUUGAUUGUAUCAAACAAGAGUACAGUAAAUUUAUUGGGCCUUGCUGAUUUUUUUUAAUACAGCAUGCUGUAUCUGCUAACUGCUUUUAACAUUGAAUUAAUGUUUAAGUUUCAUAUUACAAGCCAAGCAUUUUAACCAGAGCCAAUUGCUAUGAUGAUUACUGUUAUAGGUAAUGAAAUCUAACGAGACUUGGAUUUUAUAUGACUUUAAAGAUUUUCUGAUUUAUGGUCUGAAUUAUUUCUGAAAAGUAAUAAUUUACCAAGCCCAAAAUUUAUAUUUGCACUAUUACUGAGAAAUGGUUUUCAUGUGCACUAGGAAUACGUUAAAAAUAAUUAAUUAUCACAAAUUAAAAAAAAAAGGUAUAAACAAAAAACUUUAUUUGUUUCCAGUGUAUGACUUCUGUGCUGUAAUAUCCUCAUUAUCCUUCCAAGAUAUAGUUUUUUUAUCUUUAAAGAUUUUUAGAUAGUGCAUCAGUUAGUCCUAAACUUAUGCUACUUGCAAAAAAAGUAUAAAAAAUAACCCAUAAUUAUAACACUUUUCAGUGUAAAUGUUGGAAUUUUGCUUGUAUAUUCUGUAUAAUCACACAAGAUCAUAGUAGUGGCUAACACUUGUUACCAUGAUCCAGUGUUAAUCCAUGUUUGUUCAUUUGUAAGGACACAAAUGGUUUUGAAUAUGUUUACAUUUUUAAAUAGGGUAAAAUAGGGACCAGUAUCAUAAAACAAUGGGUUGAAAUAUUGGCCAAAGAUAAGCAUUAUCACCAAUAUAUCCAUUAUGUACAGUGGUAUAAAAAGUGUGGGCACCCCUGAUAAUUUGCAUGGUUUUCCUUUAUACACCAUUGGUUGUUUGGAUCAGCAAUUUCAGUUAAAUAUAUCAUAUAGCAGAUGACCACAGUGAUAUUUGAGAAGUGAAGUGAAGUUUAUAGGACUUAAAGAAAGUGUGCAAUAAUUCUUUAAAAACAGUUAGGCAAGUGCUUAAAUUUGGGCACCCCAACAGAAAAAGUACAUUAAUAUUUAGUAGAUCCUCCUUUUGUAGAAAUAACAGCCUCUA
ensembl:lncRNA